AUGAUACGGCGAGGAACCUUACCUGGGCUACGAACGUAAGAUGACUGUAGGUGAAAGCUUACAUCUCUUCGGAGCAUUUUACGAGGUGCUGCAGUGGUUGUCGUCAGCUCGUGCCGUGAGGUGUCGGGUUAAGUCCCAUAACGAGCGCAACCCUACCUUUAGUUGCCAUCAGGUAAUGCUGGGGACUCUAAAGGAACUGCCUACGCAAGUAGUGAGGAAGGCGGGGAUGACGUCAAAUCAGCACGGCCCUUACGUCCAGGGCUACACACGUGCUACAAUGGCCGAUACAGAGGGCAGCUACCUGGUGACAGGAUGCAAAUCUCCAAAGUCGGUCUCAGUUCGGAUCGGAGUCUGCAACCCGACUCCGUGAAGUUGGAUUCGCUAGUAAUCGCGCAUCAGCCAUGGCGCGGUGAAUACGUUCCACGGGCCUU
rnacentral:rRNA from 1 species